rnacentral:rRNA from 1 species
AUUGAACGCUGGCGGCAUGCCUUACACAUGCAAGUCGAACGGUAACGGGCCUUCGGGUGCCGACGAGUGGCGAACGGGUGAGUAAUGUAUCGGAACGUACCUUUCAGUGGGGGAUAACGUAGCGAAAGUUACGCUAAUACCGCAUAUUCUGUGAGCAGGAAAGCAGGGGGUCGCAAGACCUUGCGCUGAUUGAGCGGCCGAUAUCAGAUUAGCUAGUUGGUGAGGUAAAGGCUCACCAAGGCGACGAUCUGUAGCGGGUCUGAGAGGAUGAUCCGCCACACUGGAACUGAGACACGGUCCAGACUCCUACGGGAGGCAGCAGUGGGGAAUUUUGGACAAGGGGGGCAACCCUGAUCCAGCCAUGCCGCGUGAGUGAAGAAGGCCUUCGGGUUGUAAAGCUCUUUCGGCCGGGAAGAAAUCGCAUGGGUUAAUACCCUGUGCGGAUGACGGUACCGGCAUAAGAAGCACCGGCUAACUACGUGCCAGCCGCCGCGGUAAAAC